AAAAGAUACAAUUAUAUCUAAGAUACUUGUAUACAAGUCCAAAGAUAAUACCCAACCAGUGGUACAACCAGAAUUUUUUGAAGGGGGGUGUCACAUAUCUACAUUGAAAAAAAAUAUACGUUUUUUUUAACACAAUUAUUUAAACACGGAUGUAAGGGGAUGUCCAGAGUCCAGACACCCAAAACACCCUCUUGGUUGUGUUACUAUACCCAACCAUGAUUAACCUAAUCUAACCAUGAUAUGUAGUUAUUAAACCUACUUAUUACUUUCUUAUACUAGAGACAAUGGGCUACUGAUAUUUUGUAUACAAUUUUAAGUUUUACAACAGGUAUAUUGCUAAAAAAAAAUUAAUUCAACAACGUAGGUUGGUUAUGUAAGUUGGAGUG